rfam:Callithrix jacchus chromosome 6, whole genome shotgun sequence
GCCGGGCGUGGUGGCUCAUGCCUGUAAUCCCAGCACUUUGGGAGGCCAAGGCAGGCGGAUCACCUGAGGCCAGGAGUUCCAGACCAGCCUGGCCAACAUGGUGAAACCUUGUCUUUA